rnacentral:rRNA from 1 species
GACGAACGCUGGCGGCGUGCUUAACACAUGCAAGUCGAACGGUGACGGAGGAGCUUGCUCCUCCUGAUCAGUGGCGAACGGGUGAGUAACACGUGAGUAACCUGCCCCAGACUCUGGAAUAACAGUUGGAAACAGCUGCUAAUACCGGAUACGAGACGGAGAGGCAUCUCUACCGUCUGGAAAGUUUUUCGGUCUGGGAUGGACUCGCGGCCUAUCAGCUUGUUGGUGAGGUAACGGCUCACCAAGGCGACGACGGGUAGCCGGCCUGAGAGGGCGACCGGCCACACUGGGACUGAGACACGGCCCAGACUCCUACGGGAGGCAGCAGUGGGGAAUAUUGCACAAUGGGCGAAAGCCUGAUGCAGCAACGCCGCGUGAGGGAUGACGGCC